UACGUAGGUUGCGAGCGUUAUUCGGAUUUACUGGGCGUAAAGAGCACCGAGGUGGCUUCUUAAGUUGGAUGUGAAAUCUCCCGCUUAACUGGGAGGCGCCAUUCAAAACUGGGGAGCUUGAGGUCGAGCAGGGGAAAGGUGGAAUUCCCGGUGUAGUGGUGGAAUGCGUAGAGAUCGGGAGGAACACCAGUGGCGCAAGCGGCCCCCAAGCCUGAACCUGACGCUGAAGCGCGACAGCGUGGGGAGCAAACGGGG
rnacentral:rRNA from 1 species